GACGAACGCUGGCGGCGUGCUUAACACAUGCAAGUCGAACGGUAAGGCCCUUCGGGGUACACGAGUGGCGAACGGGUGAGUAACACGUGGGUGAUCUGCCCUGCACUUCGGGAUAAGCCUGGGAAACUGGGUCUAAUACCGGAUAGGACCACUGCCUGCAUGGGUGGUGGUGGAAAGCUUUUGCGGGGUGGGAUGGGCCGGCGGCCUAUCAGCUGGGUGGUGGGGUGAUGGCCUACCAAGGCGACGACGGGUAGCCGGCCCGGGAGGGUGACCGGCCACACUGGGACUGAGAUACGGCGCAGAGUCCUACGGGAGGCAGCAGUGGGGAAUAUUGCACAAUGGGCGCGAGCCUGAUGCAGCGACGCCGCGUGAGGGAUGACGGCCUUCGGGUUGUAAACCUCUUUCAGUAGGGACGAAGCGAAAGUGACGGUACCUAAAGAAGAAGCACCGGCUAACUACGUGCCAGCCGCCGCGGUAA
rnacentral:rRNA from 1 species